rnacentral:lncRNA from 1 species
GAAAAGUGCUACUUCAGAAACUUUUUAUCUUUUAGGUCGUAUUUUUAAGUAAGUAGGUGGUAGUUUUCUUCUAGUAUGUUUUAAAGCUAGCAAAGCCAAAGUUUCUUUCUCUAUAUGCUUUCUAAAAAUAAAUAUGUAAUAACAUUCUUGCACUCCUACAAUACCCUGUGUUGGAUAACUGUAAGCAAUUUAUGGAGCUGGGUAAUGAUUGUCUGGAUUAUACGGCCAAGGAAGCAAAGAUACAAAUAAAGUUAAACUCUUCAGCCACAGUAGGUGAAUUGGGAUAAAUUAAAUGAUACUGAGUAACCUGCAAAGGAAGCCAAAAAGAUGUGGAAGUAUUCAGAGCCUCUCAAAGUCUAGGCCUACUAGUGUCACAUGUUUUUUUUUUAAGUCUGGAAACACACCCAGUUACGAGUUCUUUUUUAAAAGUUUGCCAAGAAACAGUUGCUCUGGAGAUAAGGUUUAUAGAACUAAAUCCACCUGAGAUUCAGUAUUACCUUGGCAUUCUUUUUCCUUGUCUGACUCAUUGUUUGGCAGGACUCAAAUUACUCACUGGAAGUUAAAACCGAGCCUGGUUUUUUAACCUUCGUAACCUUGAUUGAUCAUAGAUCAAUCAAUCAUAGAUAGAUCAAUUUGAAGGGGGAAGAAAAUAAUAUUGGACAAGAUAAAAGAGACCCAUGGCACAGGUAUUUGCAACCUGUGUCAUAUUAAUACAGGAAAACCCUUUUAUCUUUUGGAAUGGUUUUAGUGUUUAAUUUCCUAGAGGAAGGGUGGCAAGACAAUAUGUAAAAUGGCCGUGGUUGAGGAGAGAUAGUUAAAGUAAGAAGAAAAAGUGCUUACGCUUCUUGGCUUUGACUGUUUGGAGGUAUCUCAUUUGUGUCAUGCCGAUGCUGGUUCUUCAGGUAACACUCAACAAACACACUCAGCAAAUAGCCAGUCAGGCACACUCCACCUACCCCUAGGAAGAAGUAGCCUACUGGAUUAAUGUUGGAUGAAAUGGCUAGCAUGGUGACCCCAAUGAGAAGAGCAGCGGUGAAAAGAAGCAACAGGGCUUGACGGAUGUUCUUCCAGUGUGCUUCUAACCACAUGGUAUAGUGGAUGGUGGUAGCAGAUAUUUGAGAACAGAUAAGGAGUUAAGGGGAUAGACAUCUGUGGAAGAUUUAAAAGAGAUAAGAAUAAACCACAAGUCUUUUUCAGCUUGAAACAUAAGCGUGCAAAUGUUAUCAAUAUCAUGACCAAAAUACCAUGUAUGUGCAAGUUCAAUCCAUCAUGAGAACAUGCAACUAUAGACAUGCAUAGUUAGCCUAGGAGAUCUAUGUAUAAAUACAUGCUAGUGUAAAUGUACUAGAGUAUUUUAUGAGAAUGCUUCUUGAAUUAAUAGGAAUGCUUGGACUUGCAGUUGGAAGACAUAAAAGGCAUAAAUAGACCAUCAGAUCUUACUGGCAGGCUUAUCUAAAAAGUUACAGUUACCUAUUCCAGAAGUCUAGGAUGAAAAUUUGAGGCUGUGCACUUUACAUAAAAGUGAUAGACAAGUUUUAUUCUAGCACAUUAAUGAACAUUCAGAUACUAGUUCAGAUCACGGUAAAAAACAUAGCCAUAUUAAUGGAGCUCUCUGCCUCAGUAAAUGGUUUUCUAUGUAGCAGUCAUGUUUUAACUUCUCUCUUCAUCACAAGGAAAUAUAUGCAAGCUCCUCUGUCCCUGCUCCUUCCCCUUCUG